rnacentral:rRNA from 1 species
AUAGCUUUAGGGCUAGCCUCAAGGUGAGAGAUACGGAGGUAGAGCACUGAAUGUCCUAGGGGGUAUUGCACCUACCGAAGACUAUCAAACUCCGAAUGCCGUCAUCUUAUACUUGGGAGUCAGACUGUGGGUGAUAAGAUUCAUAGUCGAAAGGGCAACAGCCCAGAUCGUCAGCUAAGGUCCCUAAAUGUAAGUUAAGUGGUAAAGGAUGUGGGAUUGCACAGACAACCAGGAGGUUGGCUUAGAAGCAGCCAC